rnacentral:rRNA from 1 species
GGAAGAGGGGACGGCGUCUGGUCAGCAUGGCCCUUAGGCCUGGGCGACACACGUGCUACAAUGCCCACUCAAAGCGAUGCCACCCGGCAACGGGGAGCUAAUCGCAAAAAGGUGGGCCCAGUUCGGAUUGGGGUCUGCAACCCGACCCCCAUGAAGCCGGAAUCGCUAGUAAUCGCGGAUCAGCCAUGCCGCGGUCGAAUACGUUCCCGGGCCUU